rnacentral:tRNA from 1 species
UCGGGAUAGCUCAGUUGGUAGAGCAGAGGACUGAAAAUCCUCGUGCA